CCUACGGGUGGCAGCAGUGAGGAAUAUUGGUCAAUGGACGAGAGUCUGAACCAGCCAAGUAGCGUGAAGGAUGACUGCCCUAUGGGUUGUAAACUUCUUUUAUAUGGGAAUAAAACGUUCCACGUGUGGGAUUUUGUAUGUACCAUAUGAAUAAGGAUCGGCUAACUCCGUGCCAGCAGCCGCGGUAAUACGGAGGAUCCGAGCGUUAUCCGGAUUUAUUGGGUUUAAAGGGAGCGUAGGUGGAUUGUUAAGUCAGUUGUGAAAGUUUGCGGCUCAACCGUAAAAUUGCUGUUGAAACUGGCAGUCUUGAGUACAGUAGAGGUGGGCGGAAUGCGUGGUGUAGCGGUGAAAUGCUUAGAUAUCACGAAGAACUCCGAUUGCGAAGGCAGUUCACUGGACUGCAACUGACACUGAGGCUCGAAAGUGUGGGUAUCAAACAGGAUUAGAUACCCUGGUAGUC
rnacentral:rRNA from 1 species